GACGAACGCUGGCGGCGUGCUUAACACAUGCAAGUCACGGGGGCCCGCAAGGGCAACCGGCGAACGGGUGCGUAACACGUGAGCAAGCUUCCGAUUUGUGGGGGAUAGCCGGCCUAACGGCCGGGUAAUACCGCAUACGUUCACCGGACGGCAUCGUCUGGUGAGGAAACCUCCGGGGCAAAUCGAGGCGCUCGCGGCCUAUCAGCUAGUUGGCGGGGUAACGGCCCACCAAGGCGACGACGGGUAGCUGGUCUGAGAGGAUGGCCAGCCACAUUGGGACUGCGACACGGCCCAGACUCCUACGGGAGGCAGCAGUGGGGAAUAUUGCGCAAUGGACGAAAGUCUGACGCAGCGACGCCGCGUGUGGGAUGACGCCUUUCGGGGUGUAAACCACUGUUGCCCGGGACGAAACUCCUUUUUCGAGAGGAUUGACGGUACCGGGUGAGGAAGCACCGGCUAACUCUGUGCCAGCAGCCGCGGUAAUACAGAGGGUGCGAGCGUUGUCCGGAAUCACUGGAC
rnacentral:rRNA from 1 species